rnacentral:lncRNA from 1 species
GCUCUUGGGUAAAUAAUAAGGCUUCAGCUUUGGAUCGGACCCUCGGCGAGAUUGCUAGAAUAUUAGAGAAAGAGAAUGUGGCAGAUCAAAUUGCAUUUCAAGUUGCUGGUGGAUUAACAGCCCUUGAAAACAUCCUUCAAGUAGUGGCCCCAGCCACAAACAUGAACACAGUUUCACGAAUUCCUCCUAAGUCUCUCUGCAAUGCAAUCAAUGUUUACAACCUCACCUGCAGUAACUGUUCAGAAAACUGCACUGAUGUUCUGUUUAGUAACAAGAUUACCUUCUUAAUGGAUCUCCUAAUACACCAAUUGACGGUUUAUAUUCCAGAUGAAAAUAAUGCUGUUUUGGGAAGAAAUACAAAUAAACAAGUUUUUGAAGGCUUGACAACUGGACUUCUCAGAGCCGGUGCUGUGGUUUUUAGCUGUCUGAUUGCCAACCGACCAGAUGGAAACAGCCGGCCAGCUACACCAAAAAUAUCAACACAGGAAAUGAAAAACAAACCCUCACAAGGUGAUGCUUUUAACAGUCGAGUGCAAGACCUUAUCAGCUAUGUGGUGAACAUGGGUCUGAUUGACAGACUUCGUGGCUGCUUCCUCUCAGUGCAAGGCCCAGUGGAUGAGAAUCCCAAAAUGGCCACAUUUCUGCAGCAUGCCGCAGGAUUCCUACGUGGGAUAUGUAUGCUGUGCUUUACUGUCACUGGA